GCGCACGGGUGCGUAACGCGUGGGAAUCUGCCCUUGGUCGGAAUAACUCAGAGAAAUUUGAGCUAAUACCGGAUGAUGACGUAAGUCCAAAGAUUUAUCGCCCAAGAUGAGCCCGCGUAAGAUUAGCUAGUGGUGGGGUAAAGGCCUACCAAGGCGACGAUCUUUAGCUGGUCUGAGAGGAUGAUCAGCCACACUGGGACUGAGACACGGCCAGACUCCUACGGGAGGCAGCAGUGGGGAAUAUUGGACAAUGGGCGAAAGCCUGAUCCAGCAAUGCCGCGUGAGUGAUGAAGGCCUUAGGGUUGUAAAGCUCUUUUACCAGGGCAUGAUAAUGACAGUACCUCGGAGAAUAAGCUCCGGCUAACUCCGUGCCAGCAGCCCGCGGUAAUACCGGAGGGCAGCUAGCCGUGUAUCGCAACUUACCUGGGCGUACAAGCGUGCGUACGCGGCUGACCUCACAACUCNCACGGUNGAAAAGCGCCUCGGNCAGCUCCCAACUCCACGNAAACNUGGCCUUCUCGAACAACCANGGGCUCGGUCACAAUCUGGGGCAGAAGGNGAGCUGGGAAAUCCCCCGCAAGGUGNAACAGGGUGGAACAU
rnacentral:rRNA from 1 species